rnacentral:rRNA from 1 species
CUUAAAGGAAUUGACGGGACCCGCACAAGCGGUGGAUGACGUGGAUUAAUUCGAUGCAACGCGAAAACCUUACCUACCCUUGACAUGUCCGGAAUCCCGAAGAGAUUUGGGAGUGCUCGCAAGAGAGCCGGAACACAGGUGCUGCAUGGCUGUCGUCAGCUCGUGUCGUGAGAUGUUGGGUUAAGUCCCGCAACGAGCGCAACCCUUGUCAUUAGUUGCCAUCAUUUGGUUGGGCACUCUAAUGAGACUGCCGGUGACAAACCGGAGGAAGGUGGGGAUGACGUCAAGUCCUCAUGGCCCUUAUGGGUAGGGCUUCACACGUCAUACAAUGGUCGGUACAGAGGGUUGCCAACCCGCGAGGGGGAGCUAAUCCCACAAAGCCGAUCGUAGUCCGGAUCGCAGUCUGCAACUCGACUGCGUGAAGUCGGAAUCGCUAGUAAUCGUGGAUCAGCAUGUCACGGUGAAUACGUUCCCGGGUCUU